UACAGAGGGUGCGAGCGUUGUCCGGAAUCACUGGGCGUAAAGAGCGUGUAGGCGGCCAGGUAGGUCUGCUGUGAAAACUCGAGGCUUAACCUCGAGCUGUCGGCGGAAACCAUCUGGCUAGAGUCCGGAAGAGGAGAAUGGAAUUCCCGGUGUAGCGGUGAAAUGCGCAGAUAUCGGGAAGAACACCCGUGGCGAAGGCGGUUCUCUGGGACGGUACUGACGCUGAGACGCGAAAGCGUGGGGAGCGAACAGG
rnacentral:rRNA from 1 species